AACUCCUACGGGAGGCAGCAGUGAGGAAUAUUGCACAAUGGAGGAAACUCUGAUGCAGCGACGCCGCGUGAGCGAUGAAGGCUUUCGAGUCGUAAAGCUCUGUCCUAGGGGACGAUAAUGACGGUACCCUAGGAGGAAGCCCCGGCUAACUACGUGCCAGCAGCCGCGGUAAUAC
rnacentral:rRNA from 1 species